rnacentral:rRNA from 1 species
UACGUAGGGCGCAAGCGUUGUCCGGAAUUAUUGGGCGUAAAGAGCUCGUAGGUGGCGUGUCGCGUCUGCCGUGAAAGCCCAUGGCUUAACUGUGGGUCUGCGGUGGAUACGGGCAGGCUGGAGGCUGGUAGGGGCAAGCGGAAUUCCUGGUGUAGCGGUGAAAUGCGCAGAUAUCAGGAGGAACACCGGUGGCGAAGGCGGCUUGCUGGGCCAGCUCUGACGCUGAGGAGCGAAAGCGUGGGGAGCGAACAGG